rnacentral:rRNA from 1 species
GAUGAACGCUAGCUACAGGCUUAACACAUGCAAGUCGCGGGGCAGCAUGCCUUGUCCUCGGACGAGGUGAUGGCGACCGGCGCACGGGUGAGUAACGCGUAUCCAACCUUCCCGCGAGCGGGGUAUAGCCCGGCGAAAGUCGGAUUAAUCCCCCAUACCUCCCAUGACGUCCUCGGAGUGGGAGCAAAGGCUUUAGCCGCUUGCGGAUGGGGAUGCGUCCGAUUAGGAAGUAGGCGGGGUAACGGCCCACCUAUCCAUCGAUCGGUAGGGGUUCUGAGAGGAAGGUCCCCCACACUGGUACUGAGACACGGACCAGACUCC